rnacentral:rRNA from 1 species
GAUAAACCUUGCCCACUUCCCCUUGUUGGUGGUUGGGUCAUUAGGAGGACUGCCAGUGCCAAACUGGAGGAAGGAACGGGCAACGGUAGGUCAGUAUGCCCCGAAUGUGCUGGGCAACACGCGGGCUACAAUGGUCGAGACAGUGGGACGCAACCCCGAGAGGGGGCGCUAAUCUCCGAAACUCGAUCGUAGUUCGGAUUGCGGACUGAAACUCGUCCGCAUGAAGCUGGAUUCGGUAGUAAUCGCCGUUCAGAAGACGGCGGUGAAUACGUCCCUGCUCCUUGCACAAA